rnacentral:misc_RNA from 1 species
UUUUCUUCGGCUUUUUUUGCACAUUGUGUAUUGAUUUUGUGGCAUUUAAUUAAUUGAUUUUACUAAAAUUUUCAACUCCUAACAGUUAAUUAAUUGGUUCUACAAAAUAAAAUGCAUUCGUGUAUUGAUUAACUCGGCUUGAUUGCUUAAUGUCAACAAAUAUAUUGAAGCAAACUUCGCAGAUUCUGUCGAUAUUUGCAUAUAAGUGGUAUCAAAUAUAGCUCUGUGAUAUGGAAAGUACAGAGUUUACUAGAUCGACUAAUUCCUUGGGAGUUGCAGUAGCCGCCGAGCUCAACUCUGAUCAGAUUCUACGCUCAGACAACCAAAAUUCUGGAGUUAACUGUUUGGCACGGAUCGAUAUGGACUUAGACGCAUAUCAAACGGAAAGCAUACAUCAUAACUUAACCAACAACCAUUCAGGGUUUCGUUGGAAGCGCGUCCUUAACCCAACCGGUCCCCAACCACGGCCGCGACAUGGCCACCGCGCAAUAAAUAUAAAGGAACUUAUGGUAGUUUUUGGUGGUGGUAAUGAAGGAAUUGUGGACGAGCUGCACGUUUAUAAUACAGUUACUAAUCAAUGGUAUGUGCCUGUGUUGAAAGGUGAUGUGCCAAACGGAUGUGCUGCUUAUGGGUUUGUCGUGGAGGGAACACGCAUGUUUGUUUUUGGCGGCAUGAUUGAAUAUGGAAAAUAUUCAAAUGAGCUCUACGAACUUCAGGCAACCAAGUGGGAGUGGAGAAAAAUGUAUCCGGAGUCACCAGAUAAUGGCUUGUCGCCAUGUCCUCGUUUAGGUCACAGCUUUACGAUGGUGGGGGACAAAAUAUUUCUCUUUGGCGGAUUGGCAAAUGAAUCGGAUGACCCAAAAAAUAAUAUUCCAAAAUAUCUGAAUGAUUUGUAUAUAUUGGAUACUCGUGGGGUACAUAGUCACAACGGAAAGUGGAUAAUUCCUAAGACAUUUGGAGAUAGCCCUCCACCACGCGAGUCCCACACUGGAAUAUCCUUUACAAGUAAAGAUACUGGCAAGUUAAAUUUGCUGGUAUAUGGAGGAAUGAGUGGCUGCCGUUUGGGCGACUUAUGGUUACUUGAGACGGAUUCCAUGACAUGGGAAAAACCGCGUACUAGGGGCCAAGCUCCACUUCCGCGUUCAUUACAUAGCUCGACAAUGAUUGCAAACAAAAUGUAUGUUUUUGGUGGAUGGGUGCCGUUGGUAAUUAAUGACUCAAAAGCGACCACUGAGCGGGAAUGGAAAUGCACAAAUACACUGGCCGUUCUCGAUUUAGAUACAAUGAUUUGGGAGAAUGUCACCUUGGACACCGUUGAGGAAAAUGUACCAAGGGCACGAGCAGGUCACUGCGCCGUUGGAAUUCAAAGUCGUCUGUACGUAUGGUCCGGCCGAGACGGUUACCGCAAAGCUUGGAACAACCAGGUUAGGGUCUGUUGUAAGGAUUUAUGGUACCUGGAGGUGACGAAACCACUCUAUGCAGUUAAAGUAGCACUAGUGCGUGCGUCCACGCAUGCGCUGGAGCUUUCUUGGACGGCAACAACCUUUGCCGCUGCCUAUGUACUUCAGAUACAAAAGAUCGAUCAAGCACCAGCAAUAGGCAGUACAAAGCAGAGUCAUAGUCAAAGUCAGACUCAAACGGCCUCCGCCAAUGGAUCCGAAAGUAUACCUUUAGUAGCGUCUGCUGCACUGAAGUUCGAAAAAAACCCAAUUUCAGUGUUGCAUCUGACUGGAGCCAAGAGUCCAUCAGUGGGUACUGGGCAGCCUAUUACGGCUUUAGCCAAAUCAUCGGUUGGACAACCUCAAGCAUUGGGCAGCGCUGUUUUUGUAGCCCAGACGCAGGCACAAACGCAAGGUAGCCCCGUUAAAGUCAAGGCAGUUGGCUUAUCAACAGUGUCUGUUUCCUCGGAAACAACCCCCACAAUGUCAACGACAGUUAGUGUGCAACCACAACUAUCGAUUAUAAGCAGCACUGCAUCAAGCAUCAACCCGGUAAACAGCGGCAGCGGAGGCAGCGCUAAUAUGCAAAAAUUUCGACCCAACUCGUCCAUUUCUAAGACGUCGUUGGCUGCAACCAUAUCCUCUGCAACAACUUCUGCCCCGGCUUCUCAAAUAAACGAGGGUGACAUUUGUGUUCAAAAUGUUGCCGUUCGUGUAGCAAACACUGCAGCGACCAGUGGAAUAGUUCUCACCUCCCAGACAUCGACAGGAGCUUUGCGCAUUCUUCCUGGUGUAUCGACCAGUACUGGCGUGACCGCUGGCCAAACAUUACGCCUAGCCACAACAUAUAGCAACAGCGGAAGUGGUUCAACCACCACAACAAUAUUAAAAGCGUCUCAGCCCAGCGCCUCCGCGCAGCUAUCUAGCGGCGGAUCGCAGACAACCUCCCCGGCAGCAACUGUUACUACGUCCCUUGGGGGCAAACAGUAUUUCAUACAAAAACCACUUAACCUGGCUCCAAAUGUACAGCUGCAGUUUGUUAAAACAAGCAGUGGAGGUAUGACGGUGCAGACGUUACCUAAGGUCAACUUUAAUAUUGCAAAGAGUGUUACCCAGGGCCAGGCCAUCUCCAUUUGUAAUCAACAACUGACCCCAGGCUCUACACAAAUUCAGAUAACGUCUGGCAGUAGUGUGCAAUCAAAGACAGUAAUGGCUACAGGUCAAAAUUUAAUGGCGACAUCUACUGGAGCGACUGGCUCACACCAACAAUCUUCGCUGCAGCAGCACCAGCAAAAACCAAUAGUUUCUGGCAAUGUUUUAAAGCUGGUAUCACCUCAUACAGUAUCCGGCGGCAAAUUGAUCAUGAAGAAUUCGAACAUUCUGCAGAUGGGCAAAGUUACGCCCAAUGUGAUGGGGGGAAAGCCAGCUUUCGUCAUCACCAACAAGCACGGCACUCAGAUAGGUAACCAGCAAAUUAUAAUUGUUACCACUGGUGCCAGUUUACGAACAGUGCCGUCUAGCUCUGUGGUGAGCAGUGCUGGUAGUUCAACAGGCGGUACGAGCAUAGUGAGCAUUGUUGGUUCGACAGGGACAACGGCUACGCCUAUUGCAGUUGGCGGACAGCGUGCUGUAAUAUCCAAUCAAAGUAGCGUUAAAAUGGUCCGCAACAUACCGAGUACCCCUGGUGCUUCUGGGCGCCCCAUUACUCUGACCUUGCCGCAAACAUCAUCGUCUACACAUAUGUCUGGAAGCUCAGGCCAUGUAACGUCCCAGAAACUCACUGGAACGUCACUGUCGCAGAAAACUGCCGUGUAUAUUGGUGGCAAGCCAGUUACAGUAAUGAGUGCAAGUUCCGGGAUUGGCUCACCAGGUUCCAGUUCCACAAAUAAGUUGGUAAUGUUGCCAGGCGCAACGGCUGCGAGAAAGGGAUUUGUCAACAUUUUUAACACUGGUGGUGCAAGUGGUCCUGGAAGUGGCCAACGCACAUUGACAUUGGCUACCAGAAGUGCGCCUGUAAAGACAGCAGCCGUGCAGCUAAAGGAGAAGGACAACAGCAAUGUUGAGCCAGCGGUUACAAUUGCCACGAUAGCUGAUUCAGUUUGCGCCGACACCGAUCCUAUCGAUGAUAUUAUUGAGCAGCUGGACGGUGCGGACGACAUACUAAAGCCGCUUAAAAAUGAAGCCCGAGAGCCUGAAAACAUUGAAAAUGAUAAUGCCGCUGCAACUUCAACAUCAACACCAACAUUAGUUCAAUCGGCAACGCCUACCACUGGACCGUUAACCAUAAUGUCUGAUGCACAGGAUACAGUGACAGAAAUUAAAAUUCCAGAGACUGUUGACGAUAUUUCUAGUGUUAGUAGUACUACGGAUGUGCAGAAAACAUCAACUGCAACUAAAGAUAGAAAUUCCGUAAUUGGAACAUGCUCAGCCGAGAAUAUCGACUCCAAUUCUAGUUUCCCCGCAGCCGUUACAACCACUGCAACGGACUGCAAUCAGCCAACGGCAUCUGAGACUGAGGCUGCAAAUAUAUUAACUACAAUUAAAUCAGCAUCAUCACCAAAACGUAGACGGCUCGCAUUUGGAGGCCCUUGCUUCUGCAGCUGUAAUGCAAGCGGCUACCGCAUCGGCAGAUUCAAGUCAGGCAGCAAGGAGCCUACUUGAUAGCUCGUCAGCCGCCCAUCUUAGCAAUACAAGCUACAAAUCAACUGAACAACAAAAAAACAGCAAUGACAACAAUGUCCCUGUCACAGUUGCUGAUACAGUUGACGACACUGAUAAGUGGCAUACGGUGGGCAUAUUCAAGGAACUGUCACAUACUGUAACUAGCUA